GUGAUCGUAGCUCAAUGGUUAGAGCGCUAGGUUGUGGACCUAGUGGUUGCCGGUUCGAAUCCGGUCGGUCACC
rnacentral:tRNA from 1 species